UACGGAGGGGGCUAGCGUUGUUCGGAAUUACUGGGCGUAAAGCGCACGUAGGCGGACUGUUAAGUCGGGGGUGAAAUCCUGGGGCUCAACCUCAGAAUUGCCUCCGAUACUUGCAGUCUCGAGUGCGGGAGAGGUGAGUGGAAUUCCCAGUGUAGAGGUGAAAUUCGUAGAUAUUGGGAAGAACACCAGUGGCGAAGGCGGCUCACUGGCCCGUAACUGACGCUGAGGUGCGAAAGCGUGGGGAGCAAACAGG
rnacentral:rRNA from 1 species